UCGGGAAUUUUGGGCAAUGGGCGAAAGUCUGACCCAGCAACGCCGCGUGAAGGAUGAAGUAUUUCGGUAUGUAAACUUCGAAAGAAUAGGAAGAAUAAAUGACGGUACUAUUUAUAAGGUCCGGCUAACUACGUGCCAGCAGCCGCGGUAAUACGUAGGGACCAAGCGUUGUUCGGAUUUACUGGGCGUAAAGGGCGCGUAGGCGGCAAUUCAAGUCAUCUGUGAAAUCUCCGGGCUUAACUCGGAACGGUCAGAUGAUACUGCUUUGCUAGAGUGCAGAAGGGGCAAUCGGAAUUCUUGGUGUAGCGGUGAAAUGCGUAGAUAUCAAGAGGAACACCUGAGGUGAAGACGGGUUGCUGGGCUGACACUGACGCUGAGGCGCGAAAGCC
rnacentral:rRNA from 1 species